rnacentral:rRNA from 1 species
GAUGAACGCUGGCGGCGUGCCUAAUACAUGCAGGUCGAGCGAACGGACGAGAGGCUUGCUUUUCUGAUGUUAGCGGCGGACGGGUGAGUAACACGUGGAUAACCUACCUAUAAGACUGGGAUAACUUCGGGAAACCGGAGCUAAUACCGGAUAAUAUUUUGAACCGCAUGGUUCAUAAGUGAAAGACGGUCUUGCUGUCACUUAUAGAUGGAUCCGCGCUGCAUUAGCUAGUUGGUAAGGUAACGGCUUACCAAGGCAACGAUGCAUAGCCGACCUGAGAGGGUGAUCGGCCACACUGGAACUGAGACACGGUCCAGACUCCUACGGGAGGCAGCAGUAGGGAAUCUUCCGCAAUGGGCGAAAGCCUGACGGAGCAACGCCGCGUGAGUGAUGAAGGUCUUCGGAUCGUAAAACUCUGUUAUUAGGGAAGAACAUAUGUGUAAGUAACUGUGCACAUCUUGACGGUACCUAAUCAGAAAGCCACGGCUAACUACGUG